UCUAAGUGUUUAACUUGGUACAGCCCUCGCACCGCACUCCUCCUUCGACGACAGGCUUCCCAGAAAAAAACAGCACUUCAGAAGGACAAAUUCUAAAAAAGAAGCAUUAUAAUGAAGCUUGAGAAGGUGGUUUCCACAGGACGACACUAAGGAGAUCCUGAUCAGCUACCAAUAGGACAACUUAUAAUUGGCUAUUCUAUUUUCUCAUUUGACAAAAGCAAAAACCUAGAGAAAAGAGGCAUGUGGAGUUCACCGUACACUGCAACCAUAGAGCUUGUGACAUCGUCACCAGUAGAAGGUGGUUCUUUCAGCUCUCUUCAAAGAAAUUCACUAAAUAGCACUAAGUGCCAUUGGACCCAGUCAGUAUGAUUCAUUCCCCUUAGCACUGGUCAGCGAUUUCUAAUUUUACAAACAGUUGGAAAGAGAAUGCAUAAGAAAUAGCUCUUAGAAAGAAACUUUUUAUUCAUGUAGAGAACAUUUAAGACAUAUUCAAACAUUUUUAUGAACAAAGAUUUAAUGGGUUCCAUGAUAAUGGUCAUAUGAAGAUCAUUCCAAUAUACGUUUGUGUUUGCUGAAUAAAUGUUAAAUAAUUUCACAAAAGGAAUUUCCAUCCAUUUAAGAAAAUCUGGAUUUCAAUACCUGUUUACAACAACAAAAAAGUGACAAUAUUUCUUCAUGUACUGAAAUUAAUAAAUUACUUAUUACUAA